UACGGAGGGGGCAAGCGUUAAUCGGAAUUACUGGGCGUAAAGCGUGCGUAGGCGGCUUGGUAAGCCGGUUGUGAAAGCCCCGGGCUCAACCUGGGAAUGGCAUCCGGAACUGUCAGGCUAGAGUGCAGGAGAGGAAGGUAGAAUUCCCGGUGUAGCGGUGAAAUGCGUAGAGAUCGGGAGGAAUACCAGUGGCGAAGGCGGCCUUCUGGACUGACACUGACGCUGAGGUACGAAAGCGUGGGUAGCAAACAGG
rnacentral:misc_RNA from 1 species